rnacentral:tRNA from 1 species
GAGAGUAUAGUUCAGUGGUAGAGUGUGUGCUUAGCAUGCAUAAGGUCCUGGGUUCAAUCCCCACUACCUCCA